GCAGUGGAUGCAGAGUCAGGAAGGCUCCUCCCACCCACAACACCCUCUUCCCCCGUGAGCCUGGCAAAGAACACUCCAAAGCCCAGAAUCCAACCCCUCUGUUCCCACCCCUGGCCUGGCCUCCAGGCCACAGUGGCCUCUGCCUGAGCCACAGGUUGGGCAAGGCUUCCGUCCCCACCCCCCGAGCCCAGGCAGAGCAGGUCCCAGCAUGCAACCGGCAUCCUCUUCCAGGAGGACUCCAUCUGCAGCACCUUGUGUGGGCCCCAGGGAGGGAGUUCGGCUCUCACCGGCUGCAUCUGGGGUGCAGGGUAAGGCCGAGGGCCAAUUUGGAUAGUGACACUCAAGCCUGCCUAGAGCUCAGCCUUUCCCAGUCCUGACUACAGAGAUGAAUGGAGAGAACUUGGUCGGGAGGAAGGACCCAAGGAAAGGCAGCCUGGAUGAGGAAGCCAGACUGGCUCUGAUAAUCUUCAAAUCUCUUGGAAGCUCUGGAUCCAGUCCUGUGUUGGGGAAAUGAGACCAGAGAGGCACAGAAGAUGCACAAGAAGUCAAUAGCAUUGGCCCAGGACUGGCUCAACACCUGUAGUGUUCUCUGGGACACUAAGACAGGUGGAUUGCUUGAGCGCAGAAGUUCCAAACUAGCCUGAGCCAGAGCAAGACCCUGUCUCUACUAAAAAUAGAAAAAUUAGCUGGAGGUGGUGAAAUCUGUUGUCCUAGCUACUUAGAAGGCUGAAGCAAUAGGACCGCCUGAACCCAGGAGAUGGAGGUUGCUGUGAGCUAUAGUACCCCGGCACUCAGGGUGAUGGAGUCUAAAAAAAAAAAAAUAGCAUCAUCUGAGAGGAACAGAAGACCCAAUACUUCCACUUGUAGGAACACAAGCAUCUUUGCUUUCCUUGUUACACAUACACACACAUUCUAGGCAAGAAAACCCAGAACCAUUUACACCUGCAGUCACCCACACCCAUCCUGUGGCCACAUCAUCAUACUCAAGUUGUAUUCACAUCACCACAAACACAGUGUCCCACAAUCACCGUCUCCCAAAAUCU